GAGAAUUCUGGAUAUCAAGGCUUAUCAAGCUUCCCUUGUUGGCAAUAUUCCAUGAAUAUUGUGACACAUCAAUGCUGCCAAAUAGCACUUUCCUUCCGCCAUGGGGAGAGGAUAAUUAGAAGCUACCUUUCCUUGACUCUGCCCUAUGACUUGCUGCUUCUUUUGGCUGAUUUUAAUCUGCAUCUUUUCCUUGUAUUAAACCAUAACCAAAGAAAUCUCAUGAGGAGAACUGGGAACUGGAAACUCCGAGAGAAGAAAGGUAUGACUUUUAAAGAUGGUGAUUGUGGGCCGGGUGCCGCGGCUCAUGUUUGUAAUCUCAGCACUUUGGGAGGUCAAGGUGGGUGGAGGUCAGGAGUUCGAGACCAGCCUGGCCAACAUGGUGAAACCAAAAUUAGCUGGGUGUGUGGUGCACGCCUGUAAUCCCAGCUACUCAGAAGGCUGAGGCAGGAGAAUCACUUGAACCUGAAAGGAGGAGGUUGCAGUAAGCUGAGAUGGUGCCACUGCACUCCAGCCUAGGCAACAGAGUGAGAUGCUUUCUCAAAAAGCAAAAAAGACGGUGAUUGUCAGGGCUGUCCCAUUUUCACCUUCUGAUUUGCUUGGUCCUUGUCAUUGUUCUGUUCUUCAUGAUGAGCAAGGAAUGUAUAAUGGCCAUCCUGUUUGAAUAUGGGAAUUACUCUCCUCACAGGCUCUUUUCUUUGGCACUCUUGCACAUAUGCACUAAAACAAUUAAAUGUCAUGGAAAUCCUAAAAUACCUUGAAUCAUCAAAAGAGGCUUAAAUUAUGUCAGGACAGCUGUGGUAUUCUGUAUAUUAUGUAUUCUAGUUCUUUAAAAACGAUGAGCCAGGUAUUGUGUGUGCAGUUAAGACUUGACUAAUCUGAAUACUCGUUAACUAGGAUAUACCAGAACAAAGAAUUUUUCAAGUUUUUUCUCUAGCUAUCAAGACAAGAUGUCGGCCGGGGGCAUGGCUCAAGCCUGUAAUCCCAGCACUUUGGAGGCCGAGGCGGGUGGAUCACGAGGUCAACAGAUCGAGACCAUCCCGGGUCAACAUGGUGAAACCCCGUCUCUACUAAAAAUACAAAAAAUUAGCUGAGCAUGGUGGCGCGUGCCUGUAAUCCCAGCUACUCGGGAGGCUGAGGCAGGAGAAUUGCCUGAACCCAGGAGGCGGAGGUUGCGGUGAGCCGAGAUCGCGCCAUUGCACUCCAGCCUGGGUAACAAGAGUGAAACUCUGUCUCAAAAAAAAAAAAAAAAGACAAGAUGUCUUGGUUUGAAAUAGGUGGGAAAGGGGAUAUAUGAGAGCCCAUCUGGUGGUCAUGGUAGUUUCAGAGCUGAAGUCCAUGUUUUUAAGUCUCCAGAAUAUCACUUUUGUUUAAUAGCUUCCCUCUUCUCUUUCUUAAUUCCCCAGCAAAAGGGUAAGAAUUUUGCUGAGAAAUGGUACCAUGAGAAAAAGUGGAGAAAAGAGGAGGCGGAUCCGCCUCAGAGGAGUUGCUAUGGAGCAGGAGAAAAGAGGGACGUGCUUUGCCCAUUUCGCUCUCUUCUCUGCUCCAAACAUACUAGAAGACUGGUAUUUAAUGUGUUGGCAGUGUCUUUGUAGAGAAAUGAACAUCUUUUCUGAGUUCUGGGGGAGGGAACAUGCUGAUUGCCAUACCUAUAUUUGUCAAAUGGGAGUCAUGCUAAGAAACUGAGAAAUAAAAAUAAUUUUAGGGUAGAGUCUUACGAACUUAAAAUCCAUUUAUUUAGCAUUAAAUAAACACCAUCUAGAUGCCCAGCCCUCAGCUAAGUGAUAUGAAGGACAUUAAAUAAGUGUAACAGAUAGUCCCUACUUAGUAUCCAGCAUCUAGUUAACUCACGUAUUUGGCCAAGGGUGGUGAAAGACAUGAAAGAAAUAUAAUGCAUGGACCCGGCUUUCCAAGACCUCAUGGUUUUGUG
rnacentral:lncRNA from 1 species